rnacentral:lncRNA from 1 species
GCCCACCAACUGUUUGUAAAAAUGUCAGUAACAAAAAAUGUUGGGAUUUGUCUAAGAGGGAUAUUGCACAGUGGAAGAGCUCACGUACGACUACAGGUGCUCGUGAGCUUUGAAAGUCAAAUCAUGGCUGGACAAUGAGACCACAUCCGCUCUCUGCCUUCUGCGAAACCAUCCAGGUAUUUGAAAAAUAAAAUCAACUUUUGCAGCUUAGAAACAAUGGAUUAUAUUCAGUUAUAAGUUAGUGGAUUAUAGUUUGAAAAUGUCAGAAUUAUGAUUCUGUUUUAGCGCAAUAUGAACUAGAGUGCUUAAUGGUUGAGUUUGAUUCCAAUCUUCAUAUUGAUGAGAAGCCUCCCAUACUUCUAAGAGACGUCUUCAAAAAAUGAAGCCAUUCUUAAUGGCUUAUGAAAAUAUUCAAACAUAAAAGUAUGGCAUUUUGGAAUACGUUACUAUUGGUUAAACAGAUCGGUUAAUGACCAAUAUAACUUUCAUGACCGAGUGCUUUGAAGAAUCUGCUCCUCCCAAUGACAAAG